AUUGAACGCUGGCGGCAGGCCUAACACAUGCAAGUCGAGCGGCAGCGGGAAAGUAGCUUGCUACUUUUGCCGGCGAGCGGCGGACGGGUGAGUAAUGCCUGGGAAAUUGCCCAGUCGAGGGGGAUAACAGUUGGAAACGACUGCUAAUACCGCAUACGCCCUACGGGGGAAAGCAGGGGACCUUCGGGCCUUGCGCGAUUGGAUAUGCCCAGGUGGGAUUAGCUAGUUGGUGAGGUAAUGGCUCACCAAGGCGACGAUCCCCAGCUGGUCCGGGAGGAUGAUCAGACACACUGGAACUGGGCAACGGUCCAGACUCCUACGGGAGGCAGAAGUGGGGAAUAUUGCACAAUGGGGGAAACCCUGAUGCAGCCAUGCCGCGUGUGUGAAGAAGGCCUUCGGGUUGUAAAGCACUUUCAGCGAGGAGGAAAGGUUGAUGCCUAAUACGUAUCAACUGUGACGUUACUCGCAGAAGAAGCACCGGCUAACUCCGUGCCAGCCGCCGCGGUAACAC
rnacentral:rRNA from 1 species